AGCACUCUGAUCAGCCAUGCCGCGUGCAGGAAGACUGCCCUAUGGGUUGUAAACUGCUUUUGUACGGGAAGAAACCCUCCUACGUGUAGGAGCUUGACGGUACCGUAAGAAUAAGCAUCGGCUAACUCCGUGCCAGCAGCCGCGGUAAUACGGAGGAUGCAAGCGUUAUCCGGAAUCAUUGGGUUUAAAGGGUUCGUAGGUGGAUUAGUCAGUCAGAGGUGAAAUCCUGCAGCUUAACUGUAGAACUGCCUUUGAUACUGCUAAUCUUGAAUUAUUGUGAAGUAGUUAGAAUAUGUAGUGUAGCGGUGAAAUGCAUAGAUAUUACAUAGAAUACCAAUUGCGAAGGCAGAUUACUAACAAUAUAUUGACACUGAUGAACGAAAGCGUGGGGAGCGAACGGGAUUAGAUACCCCGGUAGUCCACGCCGUAAACGAUGGAUACUAGCUGUUGGACUUCGGUUCAGUGGCUAAGCGAAAGUGAUAAGUAUCCCACCUGGGGAGUACGUUCGCAAGAAUGAAACUCAAAGGAAUUGACGGGGGCCCGCACAAGCGGUGGAGCAUGUGGUUUAAUUCGAUGAUACGCGAGGAACCUUACCAGGGCUUAAAUGUAAGUUGCAUGAUUUAGAGAUAGAUCUUUCUUCGGACUACUUACAAGGUGCUGCAUGGUUGUCGUCAGCUCGUGCCGUGAGGUGUCAGGUUAAGUCCUAUAACGAGCGCAACCCCUGUUGUUAGUUGCCAGCAUGUAAAGAUGGGAACUCUAACAAGACUGCCGGUGCAAACCGUGAGGAAGGUGGGGAUGACGUCAAAUCAUCACGGCCCUUACGUCCUGGGCUACACACGUGCUACAAUGGUAGGGACAGAGAGCAGCCACACCGCGAGGUGGAGCGAAUCUA
rnacentral:rRNA from 1 species